rnacentral:lncRNA from 1 species
GGCCAAGUUGCCUGGGUUGAGGUAAGAUGAAGGAUAACCUCACAUUUUACCAGUGAAUAGAGAAAAGACACUCAAUGAUGUCCUCUAGGAGAGAAUUCAAGGGGUGUGUGGAAGUGGAAAGGGUCUGAAGAAUUUGUUCUGUAUUUGAGCUCCAAAGCCACCAUUCUAGGCUGCAUGGCUGAAUUCCAUUACCUGGGGUCACUUGGGUUCCCUGCCCCUGGCCAGUGGCAUGGCCUGGAACGAGAAGGCUGGAAUGGGAGUUUAGGAGGCUCUGAUGUGCCUCAUGGCUGCAUCCUAAAGAGCAUGCACUCACUCCUCUGCCAGCCAAGCAACCCCAGGUGCAGAGACAGGGAAACCUCUCUAGACUAACCUAAGAAUCAAACAUUAACCCAAAGUGAGGUACUUAAACAGCUCCAGCAAGCAAGAAAAUACAAUAAAUACCAUUCCAUUUACCAGCUUUCCAAGAUUGAAAAGAGAGAGUUAGCAUUAAAAUGCAUUUAAAAAAGAAAAAUCAAGUCAGUCUACAGAAGCUGGGGGAAGGAGGGAACACAUGGAGUCACAAUUCCUUCCAAGCCCACAGAAAGCAAUAAGAGUUCUCAUUUAACCCGGGGAAAUGACUGGCGAAUCACUUGUACUUUGAAACGAUUCUAAAUUGCAAACUAAUUCCCCAGUGGGAUAUGUUGAUGGCCUACUGUACCCAGCAUAAAUAAUGAGUUUGCAACCAGGAUCCCAAAUAAAGUGGUGCACGUUUGUGGAAUUCAUGAACAAGUUUCCCCCUCCGUCAUGUGACAUUGCAAUGUUAAUGCUUCCAGUUAGGAGUUCCACUGUGUCAGCAGGUGAAUUCCCUGGCAGUAAGUCAAACUUUAAUGGGACAUGCUGGGGGAGCCAUUAUGCUGCUGCAGUGUAAACUCUGGAGUCAGUGUUAGGCUUCGAGAGGUGUGGACAUGGCCUGGUACCUAUUCUGCUUGCAGGUGUUCUUUUCUGUUUGACUUUUAAUGCUAUAUUUUAAAUUGACCGUGACAAAGUUAAGUUUCUGUCUAAUAAAGGAUUUAGAUACAAUGGAUCUACUCAAACCUUUCUCUCUCUCUCUCUCUCUCUCUCUCUCUCUCUCUCUCUCUCAAAAACCGUUUUUAUACAAGGAAGAAAUCUGAGGGUGGAGAGGGUUAAGUAGCUGGUUAGAUCAGACACACUAAUACAGAGCAGAAUUGGGACGUAUUAGUGGGAGUUCCAACUGGGAGAACUGGAACAAGGCGUUCCCACCUAGGACUCACCCACUCCUUUGUUCUCUCUUAAGGAUGCUGUCUUUCACUGGGAAAAACAAAAACAAAAAUAAAGCAGGAAAGUGCAAUAACUUUUACAAAUAUAUUUAAGAAUGUUUGACGAAAAGAGGAAUCUGAGUUAUAAUUUAAAUAAUAGGAAGCAAAACAUGUAACCUAGUGUAGCUAAACAUCCAGAUUGCAAUGAGAAAUAGAUACAUAAUAAGAUAAGUCUACAAGAUAUUUUUAAAAAUACAUAUAGGGCUUCAUUCCUUAAACUUAAAACUAGGUUGUCACUGAAGAGCAAAGAUCAUGCCUGUGAACACCACACUGAGCUGGGGAUGAGACCUGGGGUACUUACGUAUUAGAGCAAGGCUUGUCUCCUUAGCCCCUUCUCCUGGGCUCGCUCAGUGACAUGGGGAGGCUCUUGCCCUCAGAGCAGUUCUAGCCACACAGCUCCCUUGGCAUCCCAGCGCUCUGUCGCCUGUGGAUAGUCUUCCUUUACCACACUGUCUUUGGUAAAGCCCUGCAAAUACAGCAAGAUCUGAGUUCUGUGCCAGCUUGAGAAUUGGUGCCACCGUUGCAAAGCCAUGCCAUCUGGGUUUGGAAUACCAACCAAUGAUCAGCCUACACCUAAGGACCAAAGCAGAUACAGCCGCAGUGAGCCUCAGGAGGCUGCACCUCUCCGCCAGGUGGUUCUCUGGCCGACCUCUGGAGAGCCACCUGCUCUCCACCCCGGUCCUCUGUGGCCACACCCACACUUCUGCACCUUCUCCACAACAUUCAAUCCUCUUCCCUAACACUUCUUUACCAAGAUUGACCAAGACUUUCCAGAUGCUGGCAUCAAAGGAUGCGCAGGUGAAGCUGUGGUCCUACGCCUGCAAGUAUCCUUUUCACAACUUCCAAAUUCACAUCUCUAAUCUGCAUCUUUCUUCUGUGUAUUAAACAUAUCGGGUUUUUGUUGUCAACUAAAUUAUUGCAGGAAUUUACACAUGAAUCUGUCUAAAUGAAUGGAAAUCUGAGGAGAGUAACUUCUUCCCCAAAUCUACAUAAUCUUUCUGUGCAUUUAAUGAUGAAUGUAAUGCCCACCCACAAGUUGACUACACAGGUGACCCCAGGAUAGAUCCUUUACUUCUCCGUCACUCUUCAACUUUCAGUCCAAGUGCUGACACGAUUUCUCUUUUUUUCAUCUUCAUGCCUUUCCAGCCUUCUGCCUUUUUCAUCCCUACUCCACUGUGGAGGGCCUCAGUGGCUCCCUGACCAUGGGUGACUGACAGUCCAUCAAGCCCCCUCCCUGUCUGCGGCCAAGCUGCCUCCAUGUCUGAAGCCCUCACACUCCCAGCGCUCAGCUCUAGCUCAGCACUUAGGGGUGGCAUUGUUCAGUGUGUUGACUCAGCCUUCUCCAUAAGCCACCUGGUGGGAGCUAGAAGCUAUGUCUUUUAAUAUUUCAAGAUGCCUGGCCCAGAAUAAGUAUUCAAUAUAUAAUUUCUAGGUGAGUAAUUGGCCAAGUAUCUAAAGCAAAUUAUCAUAAUUGCACUCAUACAUUCCCACGUAUAUGUUUUUAUGUGAUUUUAGUUUUGUUGUUCAAUUUUGUACACUUAGAAAAUACCAGCCCAAGCACUUUUUUACUUCCCACCUUGCUUUUUAUGCUAACAAUAAACAUAUUAAUUGAAGAAGGGUUGUUUUUCUCAGGCACAUUUUAUGACUUUGUAUUUAUUAGCUUAUUUUAUUUCUCCAACAGCUACAUAGGUAGUUCUUAUUAUUAUUCCCCCCAUUUUUACACAUGAAGAAACUGAUGCACAAACAGAAGCAGAAUAGGACCAGAAGCCAGAUGCCAGCGCCAGGGACCCUGCCCUGGCUGCUGCCGUGAUCUUGCCCAAGCCACUGUUGCGCUGCUUCUUGCCUCCCUUCCAUUCGUGAGGAGUGGGCAGAGGGGAGCCUCACUCCAGAAUCAAUUGCAAUGAGCCUCCCAGCUGGAAGCCAUGGGCCUCGUCAAGCGACUAGCCUGUUCUUGUCACCAGUGGUCUGUACCAUGUGCAUGGGAUGCAGAUGGUUUCAGCAUGAAGUAAAGAAAAUUGGCCACGAGGGCUGAGUGGUGGCUCAGUGGUAGAGCACUUACCUAGCCUGUGUGAGGCACUGGGUUCGGUUCUCAGCACCACAUAUAAAUAAAUAAAAAGAAAAGUCUACUGAAAACUAAAAAAUAUUUUUAAAAAAAGAAAGAAAGGAAGGAAAGAAAGAAAAGUGACCAUGAAUGAGUUCAGAAGUGGCCAAAAUCAUUAAGAUCUAGAAAUGCUUGAGCAUUCCUUUCAGAAUCCAGAUGUGAUAAAAAAUUAUUCAAAAUACAUGUAGAACACUUAUCCUGAGUUCCAUAAAGAGAUCCAAAAGUGAUGGAGAGUCCCUUUACGAUUCUUUGUUAAUCUUCUGACAAUCCCAUGAGGAAAGAUUCAUUUCAAUCAGUGCAGAUGACCUGAGGAGCUCUCAGUCGCUCCUGGCCCUCCAGAGUCAUGGCAUCCCUAGACCUCCGAUUUUUAUAAAAUAUUUGAAAGUAAGGUUGAACGUUCCUGUUCUAAAAUACACGGCUGCAUGUGCUAAGUGCUUUCUAGAGUAUUGUGACUUGUGUCAGGGUGGUGGUGACAGAAGGAAUGAAUCUGUUCAUUUGUUUAUGCCCGCUGGUGGAAAACAAACUGAAUAUCAGCCAACAUAAUUCAGUUGACACUGUUCUGAAAUAUCCUCCUCCCACACAAAGCAGGAUUUCACAUUUGCAGAAAAUAUUUAUCUCAACAGCAAGCAAGCCCAUACUGGCUCAUUUCAUAGCUUUAAAUCACCACAUGAAGGAACGUGACCAGGCCAAGUCUGGAGUGCUCCGGCUCAGGUAGGGAUGAAGCGUGUCACCAGUUCCCAGGGGCUAUCAGGGAGAUGGCAGCAGGCUCCACAUGAAACAACCUUCGGUCAGUUGUUUUGCCCCACUGGCCAACAUGGACAGGUCACUAUGGCUUGACAUCUGCUUGAAUGCCAAGCGGAAAGUUUGAAGAAGGCAUUUCAUUAUCUCAAUCAGGAUUACGUCCUGUGCUCUUGAAUGAUAUUCCAAGUCAGGUUACAACUUUUCUCUUAUGUCUCAUAAUUGUUUCAGUAAGAAUAAAUGUUGAAAGGGAAAUGUAUCCCAUUUGUAAAAACCUUGAAACAGUUAAGCAAUGAACCCAAUUAAGUAGCCUUUUUUUCCCAGAAGAAAGUAAUGUUUUAAAUCAAUUAAUUAAUUCUUUUUAUAAGCGUGUAUUGCCGUCACCUACAACAUAGCUGUCACUGAGCUAGGCAAGAGAAGGGCAAACAAAACACAUUUCCUCUGCCUCCUCGUGGGUUACAGUGUCUUGAGGGGACAUUCAGAAAUAAGUGACUGUGGGAUAUGUUAAGUACUUUGGCAGCACUGUGAAUAAACACUGUGGAUAACAAGGCAGAAACACAGAUACUUCUUGGAGUUUGGGCAACAGCCUAGGACAGAAGACACCUUUGCUUUGUGAGUGAGUGGAAGCUCACCUGUACACCAGUAUGAGAGCAGGGAAGGCAAGAAGUUGGGAUCCACCUUUCAACUCCUGGUGCCACAGAGACAAUGAGCCUGGUUAUGGGAAGGCCGAAGAGCUGGGUCCAGGAAAAACAUAGGGGAAUUGGCCUUGAGCUUUCCUCUAAAGAGUUCUUUUUAGAUAUUUUAACUUGAGCAGGUUUGUAAAUCUCUACCCAUCACAGUCUGGAAGCUGGGGUAUAUAUAAAGCACAGAAGAAUUGCCAAGAUGCUCAAGGGGAAAUUAUAUUCAAUAGAGGCAGAGAGGAUGUAAAGACGGAUUUUUUUUUAAAUUUUUUAUUUGUUCUAAUUAGUUAUACGUGCCAGCAGAAUGCAUUUUGAUCAUUGUACACAAAUGGAACACUACUUUUCAUCUCUCUGGUUGUACAUGAUGUAGAGUCAUACCAUUUGUGCAAUCAUACAUGGUCCUAGGGUAGUGAUGUCCGUAGGUAGUGGAAUAAGGAUGGGAUUUGAAGAACUGCAGAGGCAGAGCCCCAGGGAGCUCCGCCAUUACCUAGAGAAUUCCACACUGUAACCGAGCUGUCGCUCACAGACUCCAGGAGAAGCCAGAGCCUUGGAACUGCAAAGUCAAGGAAGGUCUGACUGAAGACCUGGGUCCGGCCCCUUGUCCUGUUGCUUCCAGAUGAUGUUGCACAUACUGGGCCGGGGAGGCCACCUCACGCCACAGGCUGUGAUUAUACUUGCAUUUCAGUCACUGGUCAUUUAUGUGUGGGAACAAAGGCCAGUGGUCUCAUGGUCUCAUGUUUAAUGGCACUUCUUUUUUUUUUUUUUUUGCAUGUGGGCAGCUGCCUGUAAAUAUUUAUGAAAUGAAUGAUUUUUUUUUUUGGAAAUUUUUAUUGCCUAAAAUAGUUCCCUUUCCCCAAUUCUAGUUGUUUGUUGGUUAUUUUGAAGCCUAAGUUAAAGGAAUCUCUUCAGCUCUGAAGUAGAAGCUUUAGAAGUGAAAGGUCUGGUAAACGUGUAGUGACUGGUGAUGGAUUCCAGUUGGAGGGGCCAUGGAGAUAGGUGUUGAGCAAGGGUUGCUUAGUGUGGGAGAAGCUGCCUGAAGCCAGCGUCCAUGUUCCCUGCAAGUUCCUUUCUCUAGGAAUAUUCAGAGAACAACCUGGGUUUGGUGAGUUCCCAUAAUGGAUAUGAAAUUGGCCACUUUUGAUGUGUAGAGUUUAUCUGAGAGCCAAAGAGGUGUCAUGGGCCACAUAUUGAUACUGACUCCUUUGACAAAAGUGUGCUUCAUCUUGAUUACUUACUGCUAGAGAUGUGUCUUAGAAGCCAGACCAUGUUAGGGAAUAAAGCCGGCUAGUCUAAGCCUACCUUUAUGGGAAAAGGGAGAAUGUGAAAGUUUUUAAUGCUUUUCAGAGUCCAUCAGAAGAUAAUUUACAUUUUAGGCUACCUAUUAAGAGUCCAAUUACCUGGGUGCAGUGGUGCACCCCUGUAAUCCCAGUGGCUCUGGAAGCUGAGGCAAGGAGGAUCACGAGUUCAAAGCCAGCCUCAGCAAAAGUGAGGCACUAAGCAACUCAGUGAGAUCCUGUCUCUACAUAAAAUACAAAAUAGGGCUGGGGUUGUGGCUCAGUGGUUGAGUGCCCCUGGGUUCAAUCCCUGGUACAGCCCCCCUCCCCAAAAAAAGAAGAAAGAAAACAAAACAAAGAAAAAAAUCCAAAUGGACUAAAAGCUAAAAUAGUUCAAAUCUGAUUGUCAUAUCCACCAAUGUCUACACUGCUGGUUUAAUGCAGAACAUCCAGUUCUUUCAGAGUCCCAGAAUAAAAUUAAAUUUACAGCAAUUUUUCUUAUUAGUAUAUUUGGUAAUAUUCUGCUUAUAUGAAUAUUGGUAAGUCAUGUCAUUGUUACACAUCCAUUCAUUCAGAAAGAGGCAUUUCAGUUCAGCUAUUUGAGAGGAAGUAUGCUAGUUGUUUGGGGUGUGAAUAAAUUAGGAAGGGUCCCUGCUAAAAAUCUAGUACAUUCAAGAGGCUAAAAAUCUAGUACAUUCAAGAGGCUAAAAAUCUAGUACAUUCAAGCUGGGUCUUUGUACUUGUGUUUUCAUGGUUCUUGGGCCCAGUGGGCAUUUGUCACACUUGGCUAUAAUGUCCUGUUCACAGAUAAUGUGCAAAAAAAGAGGAGAAAGAACAUUAGGAAAAAUUUUUUAAAAAAAUAGCAAAAGGCCUUCAGUCACUUAUAUUGACAACAGCAUCUUAUUUAUUAAAAAUGCAGAUAUUCAGGUCAAAACUCAGUUAAUUGAUAACCGUAACCACACUGAGGUAAAGAAAAUUCAAGAUUCAAGGCAACUGAAAUCAUGAAUAGCUCAUUGCUCAACUUAAUUGUUCUUUCUCCUCUUAAUACCGCCUGUUAACAUUUUGCAAUUGGAAUGUUUUCCAUCUGUGCCUUUACUUGAAUGGUGUGAAUAUAGCUGAUGAAAACUAUUAUCACUCUGUCUUUCAGACUUCGAUCUGCUUUGUGGUGACACGAUUACAAGCAGAAAAAUGUUAGUGCAGUCAUCCACUUGAUGUUAUAUAGUUUUAUGUCCCAGGGUUAGAGUUUCCCAUCUGUACUUCAAACUGCUCUAGUCAUUCUUAUUGUGAUAGGGAAUACCUAGGUAGACACGUGCAGAAAUGUCACCUGUGUGAUUGAUCAUAAUUGUGAAUGCUCUGUUGCGCUCUUUUAAAGAUUCAGGGUAACACUAAAUGUAAAGAUGCUCUUGUGUUAAUAAAUAAAAAUAAUUAGAAUGUAUGAAUUUGUCCAGUGUUACUUUGGGAUAUUCUUCCAAUAAAGUGUCCUGUGUUAAGUGUGAGAUUGGAGAAAAAAGUGAGAGGUUGGACAAAUGAGGAAAUAAAAUACUUAGGCACAAGAAGAAGAGUGUGACUUAAAGAGGAACUUAAGGCAGCGAGGGUAAAUGACUAUUUUGCAGGAUGUUUACUUUGUGUUUGAAAUUAGGAAAUUUUACAAAUCAUUUGACUGCAUAGGGAUGUCAUCUACUUUCUGUGUAGUUAACAUGAUUAGAAGAAAUUUGGAUUAGAAAAAAACAACAAAUGCUUUUUUACAUUUCUAUGUCAACAGAUAUUAGCCCAUAAUUUAGGCAAGGGAGGUAUUUCCUGCUCUGACAUGCUCAAAAAUAAGCCUGUGACUUUAUAUUUUAUUUUGUUUCUGUUUUUGAGGAAAUGCAACAGAAAGAAUUGUUACCCUUGUGGCCCCUGUGUCAGGUAAUGCCCGUGCCCCAUGGGCAAGUGUAGGAACUAGUCUUAGCCAGGACACAAGAUUUCCUCCAAAGCGAGUUCUUUGUUCAGAUUCAAAUACCAGUCUUCAGAGCACAGUGAACCAAGAGUACACUGCAGACAUGAUGUGCUUGAAAUCCACAGUUCGUCUUUCAUCUGUGUAAUUACAUUGGAAGAAACAGGCAGGAGCGUGCUGAGGACAUGCCUGGCUGGGAAUUGUGCUUGGUGAGGCCUGAGUGUAGGAGCCCCUCCCAUGCCCCGUUGCAACCUUAAGCACCAGUACAGCUGAAUUUGAAGGAAGAAGUAAUUCAUGACAUGUGAGUUCAUAAGGGUGGGGCCCUGACCAGGUUGGAUUAGUGUCCCUGUUGGAAGAGACACUGAAGAGCUUCCCCUCUCUGCAAGCAUGCACACACAGCACGGCAAGCUCUGUGAGGGUCUAGGGCCAGGCAGGAGGCAUCUGGAGGCCAGGACAGAUGUGAUUUUUUCUUAAUUCCACAUUCGGUCUUUUUUUUCCUCCUGAGAGUCUCAGGAACAACAAUGAAAGCCUACGGCAGUGGGAAAGCAAAACUGUUUUUAUUUUUGACCAAGAAGAGAAUUGGGUGACACUCUCACAAAUCAGCUUCUCAGCCUGAACAAAGACUGAGAAUUCCUUUAAGGUAAGGGGAGAGGGAAGAUCUUAGGUAGCAAGCAGGAGGAUUACACAUGACUUUUCUGGAAAGGACUCCGGGCUUGGCCUGGCCUUCCCUUAUUCAUUACCAGCCCCUUUCCAGUCUAGGUCCAGAAUGGUUGGCCAAGGUGGCCGGAGGGUGGGAGUUUGACUGGGGUGAUGUGUGACACUGGAAGGUGCAGAGUCUGGGUCACCCUGGGUCCUCUGUGGCAAAGCCAGCUCUAACCUGUCAUGCAGCAGUGGUUGCCAGAGGCCCGAGUGGCCUGUUUGGUGGUUUCAUCAUCUGAGAGGAACACUGAUUGGUGAAGUGGGCUGCACUGCUCAGGGCUUUGAGGGGGUGUCUGCCCUUGACAGACACUGACCCAACUGGACCUUGACCUGGGACUUCAGCCUCUGCACUCAGUCCAUGGUAUUUUGUUAGGAUUGUAAGAGUCAAUGUGUUUUUUAUAAAAGAAGUUUAUAGCUAAUGAAUGUUUAUGGAUACUUCCUCAAAACCUCUUUUUUUGAACAACUCAUUGGAGAACACUUGCCCUCGUUGUUCUUAACGUAGGUAUUGUUCACACAAGGCCUUUGCAUUUGUGGUCCUCAGGAAUGGUUAAGAUCUAAGAUACAAGACGAGAACCAAACAGGACAAUGUUGGUUCGGAUCUUCCAGAAUCCAGCCCAUGCCUCUGCAUUUCUCUAAUCAUUAUGUUUUUCAAGAUGAUAACAAAAUGUUCCCAGUGGACAGGACAGGGACUUUGAAGUCCAGAUCCAAAUAUUCAAUGGCAAUUGAGAAGCCAGGGGACACUUUUCUGGGCGGUCAGGGAAAGGCGAGCUGCUCUGGGACUGAGUGCUGUGGGGUUGAUCACACUCGUAGUUCCCGGGAGAUGUGCUGAUUUCACAGGGCUCUUUGUGAUGGUGAAGCGUGAGCAGCCUGCCUGUGUGUGUCUCUGUGUGCGCUUCCUACACGCUCUUCCCACUUGUCCAACAUUAGGCGAAAGGCAUUUCCAAAGAGAAUUCUAUUUCUGAGUUUUCCAUGAACAUCUGCAUUUUUCAAGAUGAAAAUGAUUCUUCCUGGAUUGAUUUUAACAACAAGCAGUGCAAAGAGAGGGGAUGCGAGGCAGGCGAUGUGGCCACACACCAAUUUCCUCCCUUACACACGGUUCCUAUCACUUAUCAGAAUUUUAAUUCCACCUGCUAAGUAAUGCAGGUCGUAGAGCAGAGGUUAUGCAUGCAGCCACAGCUGAAAAUCUUCAGAUGCCUUUUCAUUAUACUGUGGGUGCACUGCAAUCUCUUCGGGCUCCUUGGGGGAUGGAGCAAAGAUUGCUGAGAUAAAGGUGAAUUACUUUAUUUAUUUAUAUUUUAACAGGGAAAGAGCCACCCGUUGAUUCGUCCAUCACAGUUCAAACUCAGCCCAUCCAUUAGCAUCACAUCUGUUAUGGUCCUUUCUACUACACGAUUUUAGAAAGACUUAACCUCAAGUAUUUAAUCAUAAUGCUUGGAAGGGAGAAAGAUCUUUCCUUAGCAGUGUUGGAGUACUCAUUGGCAGACAGCAGAGACAGGCUGGGUUAAUGUCGAUUUCUUUACUUUUUUAUAAAUGCCCCCUGUGUUACCAGCAUGGAUUUGAAGGUGAUGUAAUUUUCUUGCAAAUCCAUUAGUUUUAUAGGUUUUUGGCAAGCCCCACUGCUAUGUUGAUUAGAUAUAGUAACUGUGUCUAUUUAAACAGGGCUUUAAAUGCUUGGCUCAACCCUCUGCACUGCUGGAUAACAAGAUGUACAGUAGAUGCUCUCACUUCAGGUUGUGCUAAGCAGUGGUUUGACACAUAACUUAGUGUUUAGCCAUUUGUGAUAAGAAGCACUUUAAUUGCAGAGUUAAUUGCAGGUGCCUCCAAGAUAUACUUUUAAAUGCUCCCUACCAAAUAAGAGACAGCCUCUCCACCUCCUUAGGUGGCUUUACUCUAUCACUGUUUCCCAAAGUGUCCUCCACAGAACAGCAACAUCAGCAGCACCUGGGAGCUUGUUAGAAAUGCAAAUUCUUGGUUCCACUCCAGCUCUUCUGGAUCUGAGAGUCAGGAAGUCAGACUCUGCAAUCUACACUUGACGAAAAGUACUCCUGGGAGUCUUCCCAUGGACUUUAAGAACCACUAUAUUGGAGAAUCCCUGUCACAGGGUGCUGCUGUAUUUUGGUGCUGAACAAUUAAUUUGAAACAUAUUUGACUUAUUCUGAAUGAAUCAACUUUCUAUAUCCAAAUUAGCUAAUGCUGGAAAAUUACUACUUAAUAAUUACAAAAAGCAAUCACACAUCUCUUAAUUUUUUAAUAUGUAUCUUUACACUGAUAGAUUUGGCUUCAUUAUAAAUGUAUUAGCAUUGAGGUUUGGGGGUGAGGGAAAGUAGCUAUUCUUUAUUUUCCUUAUCUCUCUUGCCUCCUCUUUUUCAUUAUCUAAAGAAGUUAACAUGGCAUGCUCCAUUAAACAAGAUGCAGCUUUUAUUAUCUUUUAUCUCUUCCUGAACCUUUUCAAUAAAUGCUACUUGAUUACUCUUGCAUGUUGAGAGAGACAUUUAGAAUAAUCAAAACAUAAAGAAAGUGUGAUGCUUGGUUAAUCCAGGGCAGAACAACUUCCUCAACACCAAUAAAUGGGUUCAGACUAAAGCAAACAGGAAUACCACGGGAUGCCAGAGAUGCUGCUUUGCAGGAGGUACGAGGUGAGAAAUCUGUUCCAGGAAAAUAAACAAAUCAGUGGUAAAUACACUUCCUAGCCAUAGAAGUGUCCAUCUCCUGAAAGAACAGCCCUGGCCACUUAGAGAUCUGAGAGUCACUGCAGUUGCGUCUUACAAAUGAUCGCUUUAGUUGUUCGUUUGUACAUUCACUCAUUUACUUUUCCAUUCAUCAAACAUGGAGAGGUUUCCACGGGUCCUUUUGUUGUUUUGCGUUAGCUGAGCCAGAACUGUAUUUCCAGAAUCCCCUUGCCUGUGAAGUUCCAGGUGUGUUGCCUGCGAAGUCACAAGACAAAAGAUGCUUGGUUGGCAAUUGGGAUGGCAGCAGUAAAUCAGUAACAUUCUCCCUACGACACUGUGUCACUUGUCUCAGGCUUACCUUGUUGGAAUGGGACAUUGCUGGCCCCACGGGCCUUCCAUAUCCUAUUGAACUUCCUCCUUUGGUCUCCCAGAUUCCUGGACUGUAUGUGGGUUUACUUUUCUUACAAAAGAUGCCAGAUUUUGCUUCUGGUCCAACGGUCAUGAAAAGUAGAUUCUCCAUGGUUAAAGGUAGACCCCUGUGAAUUCCAUGCCGCACUUGCUGGUUCCAGCGGGUCCCCCUCCGUUCCCAGGUGAGUCCUUGCUCAGCUUUCUUUCCCCGCAAUUCCUGUCCACGUUUCCUGUGUAAGGUGGGCCUUCUCAUCCUGCACUUCAGACCCAGGUUUUAAGCAGCUCUUGCAAUUUUAUAAAGUCAAAUCCACACAGUGAAGUUUUUAUUAGUGUCAUGGUCCAUUGAGAUUGCUGUAACAAAAUGCCCAGGCUGAGUGAUUUGUAGGAGUUUCUCUUUCACAGUUCUGGAGGCUGGGAAUUCAAGAUCAAUGGACCAGCUGACUCAGUGAGGGCUGUCCUGCUUUCAAGACGGCACCUCCUUGCUACAUCCUCUGGAGUGAGGCCUGUGUCUUCACCCGACAAGGGCAGCAGAGUGGAAGAGCUGUGCUGGUCCUGUAGCUCUCUCACAAGGGGUAAGAUCCCAUCGGUGAGGACAGACGUCACCUGGUCACCUCAAAGUCACGGGAUCUUCACAUCAUUGCAUUGGAGAGACACAAACACUGUAACCUAGUGAACACCGUCACUCCUAGUGAACAUGCAUCUCUGAUCAAAACAUCAUGCAAAAUUUGGUACUAAACAGUGUUCCAAAGGAACUGAAUCCUGACAAUACUUUCUUCUAAUUGUUUCUAAGAUUUCUGGAAUUCAUUCUAUGUUUUGUUCAGAUUUACAGGCAUUUCUGUACUUCAGUGACUGCCUCUAAACUCUGUGACCAAGUACAUUCAGAAGGUAUGAGCUUAUUGACAAAGGAUGCAAUUUCAAAAGCCCCAAAUUCCUGUGACUUACAAGCCACAAGAUUUGUUUCUGACUCAUGAUCCCCAGAGACACCCUCAGAGGGGCUGCAGCUGCACCCCACCUGCCUUCUCCAGUGGAAGUCACCACUGUCCUGGCACAAGGCAGGUCUCAAGUGCUGGCUGGUGCAUAGGGACCUGCCAUUGGUCAUUUACAUUCAUAUUCUGUUUGCAAAUAUACUGGUUGACAAAACCUGGGUUUCACAAGGUUUCUCUUACAACUUAGGACCAUGAAACCAGCCACAGCAAUUUAUUAGAUGACCCUAAAGGGGUUGGUUAUGAUUUCUUGGAGGCCUGAAAAGCCAUCUCAAAGCCCAGAGCAAAAACAUCAUGAAACAAGAUUAUGGUGAAAGAAGAGAUAAAUAAACAAUAAUAGUCCCAGAUGAGGAAAAAAGCAAUUAUGGAAUGGAAGACAGACAUUAUGUAAGCAAAUAAUAAAAUAAAGUUUUUAUGAGACAAAAUAGAAAGUUCUGUUUUUGUUCCAUGCUGAAAUGAAGAGAAAAAGAUAAAUCUAGAAAGUUCCUGGUAAAAAUUUCAACUGUAGGAACUGAUUUAAUAACAGCAAAAACAACACCAAAGGAACCCUCUUCUGGAGAGAAGUAAGAAAAUUUUCCCAAAGGGGGGGAAAAGUCAGGUUGAUAUCAGGCUUUUCAUCUCUAAACACUGGAAGCUACAAAGAAAAAAAAAAGAACAAGGAGGAGGAGGAGAAAAAAGAAGGAGGAGAAGAAGAAAGAUCCAAAGAAGAAAGGAGGGGAGGGGAAGGGCUCUUGGACAAUAGCCCUAAACCAGCCAGGACCUCGCUCUCUGGUGACAAUGACAGGUACACAGCAAGAGGGGGAAGUGAGCAUCAGACAGGAGAUGUGGCCACACCUCAGGGGUUCACGCAGCAGGCCCAAGAGCGCUGGGAAGGGUCUGCUUCCAAAGUAGGCGAGGUGUGAAGGCCCAGCAGGAGCCAGACCUCCCAGUGCAGAGGAGGAUGGAAGAACCAGAAAGACUAAUGACAACUCCUUUUCCUGUUCCCCUGGAACUCCAAAGCACCGUGGUAUUGGCUUUAGAGACUUCACAGAAACGUCUCACGUGCUUCAGUGGUUAGGAGAGUUGAGAUUUCUGCAUCUUGAAUAUUGGAUGUCCUGGGCACGUGGCUUUUGUUCCUCAGAGCGCGAGUGUCCUCUGUUAUGUCCACUGAUUUGCACAGGUUGAACCAUCCUUGCGUCUGUGGUAUAAAUUCCACUUGAUCGUGGCGUAGUCUCUUGCUCAUCUCUUGAAUUCCAUCUGCCAGUAUUUUGUUGUGAACUUUUGCAUGUGUGCCAUCAGGAAUCCUUUAAGAAAUUUUGAAACAGAAAAGACAUAUAGUCCUUGGUCUCAGUCUGCUGUAGCCGUUUGGUGGAAGAAGUAAUAACUAUCUUAGUUUUAGUGAAAAGUGUGGUUGUAAGUAUGUUUGUGGUCAUAACAACAGUAACCCUCUUGAUUGGGAAAUCUCCAUAGAAUUCCCAAGUUAACAAUGGAAGAAAGAAACAAAUAGUAGCUUAAUUAGCAGGAUUUAAAAAAAAAGAUGGAGGGGGAGUGAGAAAAACAACAAAGUACAAUAUAGAAAAUUAUAAAAGGAAAUUUCAUAAGAACAUCAUUGUAACAGACUGACAUGAAUGUAUAACUUUCGUCUUUUUUUCAGAAGAAAAUGAAUAGUCUUAAAAGCUUUUGAUGGCACAUGCCUGUCAUCCCAGCAACUCAGGAGGCUGAGGCAGGAGGAUCACCAAGUUCAAGGCCAGCCUCAGCAACUUAGUAAGGCUUUGUCUCAAAAUUGAAAGUAAAAAGAGCACACACUAUCUGAACAAUUCAGUGCACAGAGAGGAUUAAGCACUGCCAGAGGAGAGAUCACAGAGGUGAGCCAUCUAGGGGGGAAAAUGGUUCAAGAACAAUAGUUUCAGCCAAACAUUAAACCUUCUUUAAAUGUAGAUCAAGAAACUCAGUACUUUGUUUGAUUUAUGAAAGCCUAUGGAAAACAUUAGCAUCCUCUAGGUCCAUUAUUAAAUCAACAUUAUUUCGAUACCAACACUUGAUAAAGAUACCUGUAAAAAAGAAAACUGUAAACAAAUCUCAAUAAUAAGGCAAAAAUUCUAAAUGACAUAAUAGCAAGAACCAUCAGUCAUGUAACAAGAGAACAAUGCACUGAGUCCUCCGGGUUUCUUUCAAGAGUAGAAGGGUAGUUUAUAGGGUUAUAAGGCCAAAGGGGUAAAGGAUUUGAACAUUAUCAAGAUGCUCAAAAGUAUUUGGCAAAAUUCUGCAGUCAGUUCUAGUAAGAAUUCUAAAUAAUUUGAAAAUAAAAGUAGAAUACAUAAAUGGCAAAUGCUAUAUAUAAAAAUAAUAGCAAAUAUUAUCAUAAAUUACAAAAAUCGAAAAUAUUUCAUUAAAAAUUAGGGACUAGGUAAAGGUUUCCACCAACACUAUCAUUACUAUUUUUUUUAACAUUUAAACAAAAGCAAAAGAUAAGAAAAUAAAAUAACAUAAGCAUUUGACAAAUAUAGUUAUAUUUGUUGAGGAUAUAACUGAAGAUGGAAAUACCUUAAGAGAUACUUGUUAACAAGCCUAAUAAUUAAUGUGAUUACCUGGAUAGUUUAAUCAGUGGCUUUUUAUCCAAUCUGGAAAUGACAAUAACUGUACAAAAAACAAACAGCGAGGCAUGGUGCUACAUGCCUGUAAUCCCAGCAGCUCAAGAGGCUGAGGCAGGAAGAUCACAAGUUUAAGGCCAGACUCAGGAACUUAGUGAAGCCCUAAGUAACUUAGUGAAACCCUGUCUCAAAGUAAAAAGUAAAAAGGACUGGAGAUUGGAGCUCACUAGUAGAGCAUCUCUUGGUUAAAUGCCCAGGACCAAAUAAAUAAAUAAAUAAAAGAUAAAACAAAAAUGCUGAGUAAUUAUAUUUACAAACAUGCUAUUUUUUAGAGAGAGAAAAUGAUACGUCUUACUAAAUGAUUUAAUACUCAACACAUCACAAUUUCCUGGAUGACACGAUUUUAUGUUAUAAGACAAUGAAUAUGCAUACACAUAGGAAUGUAUUCCAAAUACCGUCCCCAACUUUUAGAUGGAGCUGACUGUUGGUUUAUGAAAAGAAAUGGGUGAGAGGAAACUACCCUCAACCUGUGUUAGGUGAACCAUGUUGUUCCCUUAAUGAAAUGACUAUCAUGCUGGUGUCAGAAUAAGCACAUAGAGUAAAUAGGAAUAGAAUGAACAUUUGAGUUAGUAGGCCUUUUAACACAUGACAAGGAAGUAGUUAAUUCAAUGAAAAACAGAUGGAUUUUUAAGCAAAUAUGAUGUGUAAAAAUGGUGGGCUCUCUGGGACAGGAUAUACAAAGCCUUCGGUGGAAAGCAAGUGAGCAAACACCUAUAAAAACUCUACUAAAUAGUAAGAAGACUCUGUAUAUAUAGCUGUUAGUGGUCAGUGGCCAUAAUAAUUGCUUCUGGAAAACUGGGAGUUACUACCAAUAAGUCUAGUCUACUGUAUAUAAAUAAGACGGUGGAAAUAUAGUCAACAGGCAAUGACCAGUCCAUGAAACUUUUUAAUCUGAUGACAUACAAAGAGUUAAUAAAAAAUGAGGUCUCACAAAUAGGAAAACAAAAAGUUUAAUAUAAAUUGGCUAAAAAUACAGCUCAGGAAUUCACAGAUAACUGAAACCUCAUCUGUACAUGCACAAAUCCUGCCAUUUGCAAGAACAUGGAUGGAACUAGAAAUCAUUACGUUAAGUGAAAUAAACCAGGCACAGAAAGUCAAAUGCUCCACAGUCUCACUCAUCUGCAGAAUUUAAAACAGGUGGAUUGAGAUUAUAAAGGUGGUCACCAGAGGCUGGGGAGAGAAGGAAGUGGGGAUGGGGGAAGGCUGACCAGUCAGCAGCAAGACCUGGGGUGCUACUGCACAGCAGCGUGGACUGUUGAUAGCCAUGAUGUCCUGUCAUUUCGUAGAGCUAUAAGGAAGCAUCUUGGAAGCCUUCAUCAUAAAGAAAGCUAGGAGGAAAUCACCUUUCCAUAUUGGGGCUGUGGGCAGAAGAGCAGGCUUAUCCAUAGAGAUGACAUAUGUGAACCAUGCGGUCUUUUUAAAAGGCAGCUGGCAAUAUUAUAAUUAAAAUGCAAAUAUCCUUUUAAUCCAUCUCAAAGUGCCAUGGACACACUGUGAAAAGGCACUAAGUACCAGGGCAGCAUUAGUGUAGUGGCCACCACUAGAAGCCUGUAGUGCCCAUACAUGGAAGAAUGUCACCUAGGCAAGGUCGUGUCUAUCAUACUUUUGUGUCUAUGUGAUGUUCUCAUAUUCUGGAAGACUUUUUAUCAAACAAUAGAAAUAUAUUAAUUCUUACAAGAGUGACUAUCUACUGGACUCCAAAGUUUACCUCCAAACUCAAUUUUUCUCCUCUGAUCAAAAAAGGAGCAAAAUUGAAAACCAUCAAUCAAAAGUUAGCCAAAGCAGCAAGAGCAAUGACAGCAGCCACAAUGACAAACGAUGGAAAGUUCUCGGGUUUGAGAUAAACUGAUAAUUAAAAUUACAAACACCUGCAAUUGGAAACACUAUAAGUGUUUAACCUGUUCUCACCUUCCUGCCUUCUAUUCUUUACAACCAUUGUUCACACUGUAAUAAUUUCGUACUAUAACCAGAAUGUUAUUAUGACAUGAAUGUGCGUUCAUAUUGCAGUAAAAUAUGCAUGUGGGGAUGUAGUUAAAAGUCAGCCAAGAAAAGAUAGUUAAAAAAAAACCACCACCUCAAUAGUGGGUUAAAUACAAAGCUAAUAAAAGUGAUGCAGUGGUUGUAAAUGAGAAAGCAUGAAGUCUCACCCACUCUCACCUCUCCACCCAAUGUUGCGAGAGAGUCCUGUGUGUGAUGCUCUUGAGUCAAGGCUCACAUUUUACAACAUUUGUGUUCCUUGAUGAACCACCACACCCCAGCAGUUGUCCUCAGGUCUAUAUUUCGAUGAACUUGACCUUUCACACUAGUUAUUUCAGCACAGCUUCUCAAUGCAUCUCUUAGUUGGUUAAAUUGCAACCCUGAGAAUUCUUGCUUGACCUUUAUUGUACAAGGGCUCCCAACUGCUGUCUUCCCUGAGAUCUUUUUUCUGUGUCUGACAAGGUCUCUCCUGCCUUUGCAGCCAGCCGGCUGUGCAGGAGAACAUCUUGGUUGUCACUCUGUUUCUCCAAGGAGUUGGUGUCUAUUGAUUGCUUCCCUCUCUUUUAUCAUUUCCUGUUCCUUUGGAGAAGGAGUAUUGAUUCUCCCUUUUAAAGCCUAGUGUUUUAUGUUGGGAUCACCAAGGAAAUAUUUCUUUGCCUUUAAGUGUGUAGCUGCUCCAAGGACAUGACUUGGCAUUAAUCUCUCUGUCACAAUCUGUUCCUAGCAUAUAGUCUAAUAGUACAAUUUUCAGAUUCAGGUAUGACUUAUUUUUGAAAGUUUUAUUAAUUAUGUUAGGGAAGAGAAUUCAGUUCUAUCUCUCAUCUUUUUUGAAGAAUUGUAUGUGUGCUAGAUAACUUUUAUAGCUACCAUUUUUCACUUAAAAGUCAUUUCACUCAUGAUGUCUUUUAUAUUGAUGUUGUUUUCUGUCAUUUUUUAAAAAUUUCUGCUGCUUGCAAUAUGAUUUUUAUUUCUCUUUCUUUCAUUGUUCUUUUAUUAUUUAUUAUAGAAACAUGUUUUUUUUCCAAAAUAUUUAAUGAGAAGUACCUAUUUGUCAUAUUAAAUUCAUUUGAUCUUCUAUGCAAAGAUUCAAAUUAAUUAGAGCAUUUGGAAGCAGUAAGUCCCUUGAGUGUCUGUCAUACGAUUUGGGGGAGAGUCGAGUCGUACAGAUAUCAGCUGUAGAAGUAAGAGUCCUAGAGAAUAAUGUGGAGGUGAAUGCAUCUGUUUGGAAACGGGCCAUGUGUACAGGUGGCAUAAGACAGGUGAUUCUUGACAGCAUCAGGAUUAUUGUCUUAUUCUUGAUUACACCUUCAGGGUCACAUUGAAAUCUUCCACACAUUACACUUUUGCUCAACAUUGCUUGACUAAUCAAUGAGAAAAAUAUCAAGAGCAGAAAUCAGGGACAGGUUAUUCUAGUCCAGACGUUAGUGCCAGGUCACAGGACAUCCAGGUCUUUCUUUGCAUGUUCUCUCUUCCAGUCUCUUGGCUACCGAGAGUAUGGUCUCUUCAUUUCCCUUCCCUUUCUUCGCUUCCUUGCUUCUUUUUGGUCCUGGGGAUUGAGCCCAUGAACUACAUACCAAGCUCUUUUAUUCUUUUAGACAGGACCUCACUAAGUUGCUGAGGCUGACCUCAAACGUGCAUCCCUCCUGCCUCAACCUCCCUAGUCACUAGGAUUAUAUUCCUGUACUACCAUGCCUCACACUUUCUAAUGUUAAUAAAAUGCAAGGAAUAAAAUGCCGUCAAGAUUCAACACAAUGACUCUUCUUUUCAUCUUAAUGGAGAAAAAAAAAGAAACUUCAAUAUCCAGUAACAUAUUAGGUUCCAAAGAAUGAAGCUUCUACUGAAAGUAGCUAAAAAGGCUGGAAAACCCCAUAAUGCAUCAGCUUGUAAGUGUGAAUGAAAUGCAAGGGAUUGAGAAACUCUCAGGUCAGACAGGACAUGACAGUGGGAAACUGAAGUCAAACAGAGCCAUGACGUUGGUUUUAAAGAGCAUAAUUUGUGAAGCUGGAUGGACUUGUUCAUCUGUAUCAGAUCUUUGUAAUUCUUGGAGUAGGUGAGAGGAGUCCAGUGCCUACUAAGAGGACCUUCUUAUCUUAUCUGGAAUGCUAAACUAGCUGCAGAGGGACUGCAAGCAAAAUGUGCCUAUUUUAACCUUGCUGCUGACCUGGGAACUGGGAUGACCCCUCUGAAUUUGUAUCCAUAAGCAGACCCUCAUUCAGGUUUGCAGAAUGGCUUUAUAGCUCUGUAGUCUGAAAAUAUCAAACCCAUGAUUUAGAGUAAAGUAAUUCUGGAAUUUUAUUUAUACAGGGGUCUGAGAAGAAACAAGUACAAAACCUCUCUGUAGGAUUUCUAGUCUUCCAGACUUCAAAUAAAUCAUAUAAAAAUGUUUAUAAUUAAAACUCACUCAGUGAGCACGUUACUACAUUCAGAAGGAAAGAAGAUAUCAGACACAAUGAGGGAGAGCCAGCAGAACAACAGACUGCAAAGACUGAUCUGCAAAUGCUUCUGUUACUAAAAUUAUCCAACACCUAAUACUAAACAAUUGCAUUUUGUAUAUCUAAAAACAUACAGUUUGAAUAUUUUGAAAAGAAGAAGAGUCUAUCAAGAUGGGGCAGGCAGAUUUGAAAGAGAAUCAAAUAGUGCUGCCAGAGAUGAAGUAAAAUCAGAGUAAUUUUUAAAUAGCAAGUGUAGUGUCAGGCAAGAUAAAGCCGAAAGAAAAAUUAGUGCUCCAAAAUAUGUACGUAAGGAAAUUACCUCCAAUUUAAUAGAUGGAUAGAUGGAUGGAUGGAUGGAUGGAUGGAUGGAUAGAUAGAUAAUUACCAGAAGUCAGGGAGAGAGAAAUUGACAAAAUGGCAUUAAAGAGAUUCUGUGCUAUAAAAUACAUCCAGCAAGGUUAAGAAGAUUAUUAAAAUAUAAAUAAUGUUCUCUGAUCACACAGAAAUUAAUAGAGAGAUCAAUUUAAAAUAUAGUAAAAUUCUAUGUACUUAGAAAUUAGUAAAUAUUCUCCCCCAAAGAAUUCAUGAGGCAAAAAUAAAAGAUAAUAGUAAUUAGGAAUUUAUAAUUAUACAUUAUAAAUAAAUUUAUACAUUAUAUAUAAAUUUAUAAUUAAAAUUAUAAAUUUUGGAAAUAGAAGUAAAUUAGUACUUAAAUAAAAAUUUAUAACCUUAAAUAAUUUUAGAAGAAGAGAAAUAUUAGAAAUAAAUAGCUAUUCAUCGUACUUCAAAAUGAGAUAAGAGUAAAAGAAACAAAAAGUUGUGCUUUUAAAAAGACUAAUAAAAUGAAUAUACCAUUAGUGAGAUUAAGAAACACUAAAUUCAUUAACAAAAAGGAAUUAACAUUAGAAAAUAAGGAAUGAAAUACAAAGCAUUACUGUAGGUAUUCCAGACUUCUAAAAUGAUAACUGUGUGUUAAUCAGCUUCACUCCAUUGUGACAAAACACUGAGAUAAAACUGCCUGAGAAAAGGGUUACUUUCAUGUAUUAGCCUUAGGGAGACAUUCAAAAUUCAAACCACAACACUGUGAUUAAAAACAAAACAAAAACAUUUCUUUGAAAUUAAAUUUGAAUAUUUAUAGGAAAGAAAACUUCCUAAGAAUUAUAACUUACCCAAAGAGUCAGAUUAAUUAUUUUAGAAACCUAAAUUGCUUUAUGUCUGAUAUUCUGAGACGUUAUUAUAAUGUCUUCUUACAAAGUAAACCUCUCUGUGCUCAGAGAGGUUGUUCUGUGAGAAUAUUCAAAACAAGGGGAAAUAAUUCUAAUAUUACCUAAACUUUCCAAAAUAUUGAAAAAAAAUAAAGGACCUUUCCAAGUGAAUAUUACCCAAACUUUCCAAAACACUGCAGAAAGAAAGGACCUUUCUAAGUUAAUUUCAUCAGUUAGUAUAACCUUGGUUAUAAAAUUCCACCAAAGACUGUAGAUAAAAGUGAAAUUUCCAAUUUACUGUCACAGAGACUCAAGUAUCAUAAACAAAUCUGUGCUGUUUGAAUAAAUAGGUACAUAAGCAUAACACUUGAUGAAAGGGGAAUUUAACUCCAUGAAUUUGAAGUUGGGUUAACAUUUAAAAAUAUGAGUAAUCAUUUCAAAAAGGGAAAGAGAAUAUCAUGUGAUCAUUUUUUGGAAGUAGAUACAGUGCUUAGUAAAAUUCAAUCUCUAUUCAUGUAAAUAUAGGCAAAUUGGGAAUAGAAUAGAAUUUACUAAAUCUGACAAAUGGUAUCUUUCAGAUACAGCCGAUAUCGUAUGGUAGGCAGCCAUUAUAUGGAAGGUGUUGUGCUGUGGUUUGGAAUGUGCUAUGGGCUUCCCAUUGGUAACUUCUGGGCUUAUCUGGGGCUUGGAGGUUUCCCAAGCUGGAGUACUGAGUGUCUGGGGAACUGUGAAGGGGUCCUUCCACCAGGGUAGCCUGGUGUCUCUGGGUAGGCAAGGAUCAGCUUAACUCAAGGGGACAAAAGUCCUCAGGCUCCUUCCCAUUGGCUGCUCCUUUAGGUUCUACCCACUGCACUAGUGUCUCUGGGUGAGGAAGGAGGGUUGGGCUCCCAAGGACAAAGAAGCCUCGCUGGACUAGGCUGCUUCCUAUGGUCUCUCUUGACAGGUCUACUAUAUUACGUUGGUAAGUCUCUCUCUCUCUUUUUUAUUGAUUUUAUUUUUUUUAAAUACAUGACAGUGGAAUGCAUUACAAUUCUUAUUACACAUAUAGAGCACAAUUUUUUAUAUCUUUGUAUAUAAAGCAUGUUCACGCCAAUUCAUGUCUUGAUACAUGUACUUUGGGGUUUUUUUUUUUUUGCAUUUCAAUUCUUAUUACACAUAUAUACCACAUUUUUCAUAUCUUUGUUUGUAUAUAAUGUAUGUUGAUUGUUUCUUUUGCUGAGAAAAAAAAAACUUUUUAGUUUGAUUCCAUCCCAUUUAUUGAUUCUUGGUUUUAAUUCUUGCGCUAUAGGAGUCUUAUUAAGAAAAUUAGGGCCUAAUCCCACACGAUGAAGAUUAGGGCCUACUUUCUCUUCUAUCAGACGCAGAGUCUCCGGUUUAAUUCCUAGGUCUUUGAUCCAUUUUGAGUUAAGUUUUGCCAAAAACAUGCACUGGAGAAAAGAUAGCAUCUUCAACAAAUGGUGCUAGGAAAACUGGAAAUCCAUAUGCAACAAAAUGAAAUUAAACCCCUAUCUCUAUAUUACGUUGGAAUCUCUUGGUGAGAAAGCGGAGUCUCCGUCCUUUUGGAGAGAAGUGCUUGCUGGGCUGCUUAUAUCUGGUGGGACCCUCCACUGGUCUCUCUUAUUGGUGCUGCCUGCUGUGCUGAUGGGGGCAGAGGGAACCCAUUUAGCCUGGAGCAUUCUGCUGAAUCAGGCACUGGAAAUGUUGGGUCUGGGCGGUUCCUCUGCUGGGUGGUGUUCUGUUCUUCUUACAGCCUCUCCUUGGUCUCCUUUGGAUGACUCUUGUGCCACGUCCAGGGUUUAUCGUCAUGCUUAGGGGGAAGGAGGAAGGAGGAAUGAUCAUAAUCUCUUCUCCAGACUGGCAGUGUCCUUAUUAGUUUUUAACCUGUGCACAUAUGGUGUGGAUCCCACUCUGUUGCUUACAGAUUUUUGUAAUAAUGUGAAAUUUAUAAAACAGAAUGCUUAGUAGGUUAAAUUUUUUUUUUUGAUUGCCUGCUGUCCCCUUAAACUUACUCCUGAGUCCUAUAGGAAAUACAAAACGUGUUUGUACAUGAAUAAAAAUAUUUUUCCUAACUAUAAAGAGGAGAUCCAAAAAGCAUUGUCAGUAAUCUGUUAUCAUUCACUAUCUAAGCCAUCAGUCCAUACAAAGUUUAUAUGUGGUAAAUUUAUUUAUUAUACUGUAUAAAAUACAUUUAUUUAUUUUAUAUCCUGGAUAUUUUAAUUUAUUUGGAAAUAUUAUUUGAUGUUUAUCUGAAAACUACACAAUAAAUUGAAAUGUAAUUAAUAAUUUCUUUCUGUUGAACACAUGAUACAUAUCUGUUGUUUUAAAUGUAUUGUCAAGGUUGCGGCCAUAACAAAUCUACAAAGAUAGCAUUAUUAUCCACAAAUAUAAAUGUGAAAACUAUUUAUUCUUCUCUAGCACACUUGACUAUGACCACAGCUGCACAAAAUGCUCAUAUGUCCUUCCAAAGGUCAUAUUCUUCACACUGUACCACUUUCUUUGAAAAAAAAAUGGUGAUAUCAAACUAUGCUGUAUAAAAGAAAAAAAGUUAAUGAACUGUUCUAAUUUUCUCCCAUUAUUGUAUUAUUUCAUAAAUCCAAAACAAUAAUUUAUAUGUUCUUGUUGAAACAAAUAAAUGAAAUCAAAUGCCCCCGAAAUUAAAAAUACAUAUACAUAUUGAAAUGAAAAAUACUGUAAAAAACAGGAUCCAAGACACCUUUGUGUCUGUUUUUUGCUUGAUUCCUUUUUGAGAUUCUAUUAGAAUUGUGAAUACAUGGUCAAAAUUGAAAACAGAUAACAGAUUGAGGGAAAUACAUAUCCCAUUAAAUUUAAAGCAUUAUUUUCUUCCUUCACCCAAUCUCAAAAAGUAUGUGGACAGUAAGAAUGGCUUCCUUCAUUUACAUUGGAUUCUAUUACUCUCAGGUUGAUACAAAUAUUUGGGGGGAAGUAAGAUUAAUUGCAUUUUAUAAGAAUAACUGAAUUCUCAAUAUAUUCACAGAAUUGACUUGUGGUUUUAAUCUGAAAUAUUUUUUCUAGUGUUAAGAUUGUUAAGUACCUCCUAAGAAGCAAUUUCAUUCUGAGGUGGGACACUGAAGACAAUUUGGUUUUUUAUAUUUUUUUAAUUCCCAGUGAAUGUUGUACUUGUGGAAAAAGAGAGUACACCCCAUUUGGUCAUCUCAAAAAUCGUGCUCCAUUUAACGUCUGAGCUUGGAUUUGUUCCUGAGUUUCCACACACAUUUGAGUGGAACAUGCACACCUUUAAAUGAAACUGGAUGCACAUUUCACUUGGAGAACAAAGGUUAAAAACCAACCAACAUUCUUUAAUAUCCAUAAAUGUCAUCAUUCAGAACCCCUUGUGAAAUUUUUUAAAUAAGAAACAUACUUGGUAUCUUUUUUUAAUCAUAUUCUUCCUUUUAUAAAUGGGAGUAACUUCUUCCAACAUUAAUAUCAAGUACAUGAGCCUUGCCAGGAAUCUUGUGUUUCUCUGGGUUGAAAGCAUCCAGUCAGAUCUCAUAUAGCAUUCACCUUUCUUCUGAAAACGCUUGGAUCACAGCCCUGCCCUACUAAAUAUUUCCUUAACCUUUUUAAGGUCGAGGAUUUUUAUUUUCUCCUUUCUUCUUAAUAUAGCAUUAAACUCCAAGUCCCACAGCGUAUGCUGCGUGCUGCUUCUCCUCCGAGGCUUAACUGCAGAAGGGAGCCUUAUUGGUGGGCAUAAACCAAGCUGCUUCAAGGGGAGGACACAAUUAGCUGCUGAUUGCUGAACUGAAAUAUGGAGCCCAGUGUUACCAUUGAUUUGAACGCGAAGCCAGAAGCAAAGACACAGAAGUGCCCUCGGAGGCUGGCACCUACAACCUCCCUCAGGAAGAAACCAAAACCAAAGGAAGCAGAGGACUGGCUGACUCCCAGCUCUCCCUGUUUAAGCUUCUUUAGCGAUUCCUAAAGCAGUCGCUGACUCGGAAUUGCCUCUGUCUCUGCUGACACGAUCCACUUCUGCGUUAACGCUCUCCUACUUCUAAGCAGCAUGGAGAGAGGUUUGGAGAUGCAGGGGCAGUGCUGUUAAACAACGGUAACCUAGUCUUCAGCUGCCCUAUGACCCAUCAGUCCCAUUCCCCCUGAGGAGCCCUAGUGUGAGCCUAGCACGUUUUGCUUGUCUCCCACGUGGCCACUGAAGAUCUAAUUCUUCACUGCUGUAAAUACAUUCUUACAUACAGCCUGUUGCUGGGCAUGAAUACACAGUUUCUCUGGCUCAUCCUGAAAACCAGUUGGGUGUGAUUGACAUUUUUGGUUUACAGUAAAUCUGACAUUCUCUACGUACACCAUUUCACUUUAGCACAACAGAUUCUUAUUACACAUCUAAUGUGUGCCAGGUCCCUGGUGUCAGAUUCCUCUCUGAUCCCAUCCAGUCUCAAGCAGCACAUUCUAAGAGCCAGAGUUUGGGCUGAUAAAAUAACCCCAACUCUACUCCUAUUGUCUAUAGCCUUCCUGUUCUCCUCUUGUAGCUAACAAGUCUCCAAAACAGCGUCUCCAUCCACAUAUCGACAGCUUCACAAAUACAGCAUUAUGUUUCUUUCAGUCACAAAUGAUGCCUCCCCUCACAUACCAAUUUUUGGUUUCGGUUUUAUACACAUUAGUUUGGGAAGCUAAAAGCAAUAUAAAAUAAUUUUUGGAUCUUUUAUUGGUCACGAUAAAAAUUGAUAAAAAUUGAGCAUUUCUGGUGAAGAUUAUGGAUCCAUAACAGCUAAAACAGGACACCGUGUUCAAACCUGGUAUUUGGUUUCCACUGAAUGAUGUGAAGAUAUGUAAUACUCUCUCUGUGAGCUUUCUUUUCAACUAUUUCAUGUCUUACAGUUAAAAAAGCUACAUAGUAAAGAUGCCUGCUAUGAUACUGUAAAUUUUAUGUAGUAGGCACAUCUCAACAAUAUCCUGCAGGUUUUUCCUCAUAAAACAAAUGCUGUGGACAUGUUUAUGUAUGUUCUAAUUAAAAGCUGUUAUUGAUGGGUUAUAACUUGCUUUAAAAGUGUCUGUGGCAUAAAUUUCAGAAGUUUGGUUUUAUUUUAAUCCAGUGACCUGUUUUCCAGGUUCUUUCUGGGUAAUUGAAGGGCUGUUGAUUCCAUUCUCUCCAGCACAGUGAUAUUUUGACUAUGGAAGUUUUAAGUGAAAUGGAUCAUUUGUUGGAUUGGAGCUAUUGUUUUCAUAACUUACGUAUCUAGUGUUUAAUCUUCAACUGCUUGUGGAGAUAUUAGAAAACAUGGGUUUUUCUCUCUUAUUUUUUUAUCUAGAGCUUAAGUCGGCGCCUUACACACACAGUUAGUACCCUGUAAAUGACUGUUGGAUUCCUGAGUGAUGAUUACAGCUAUUAUACACACCAAACCUUUUCUAUCUUGCCAUUUUCCUUCCUGGUUCUCCUUAGUUUACCAUAAAUGGUGUAUUUCUUCUCUGUUUGAAAAUGCAAUGGUGCUAACCCAGAUGGUAGGGCUCAUGCAGAUAAAUCCAAAACCUGCUCAUUCCUUAAAUCCAUUUUUAAUUAAUGACAGUGAACAUUUAAUUUUAAGCGAAGCCUCAGCAAAGCUCAGACACCCCUCCUUACUCAGAAACUCCAAUGAUAGUAGGUAGGACCGCUGCAACUCCUCCAUCUGGACAUUAGCGCAUUCCUCAGAGGUGUUACUCACAUCCACAAAAUCAUUAUGUUGCACAGUCUUGGAUGUCACCUGCAUUAGCAUUGAUGGUCGCUCAUUUUCACACACUUGUUCCUCUCAUGAGAUGCUUUGGUUCACAGGAAGUCUUGCCUGUCACACAGGGCCCAUUACUCAUGCCACAGGGUUUUUCCAAGUGACUUCAUCUGAAGACUGAAAAAGCCAGGAUGCCAUGGCUUUUAGCCACUCCCUGAAUCCCAUAUGAAGUGGCUCACCCGCCCGUCCACCCCUAGGCAGUAAGACUCCAGGAGCUGGUCACUUCAACGAGGAUCUCACUCUCUUGUUGAAACAGGUGUCAUGUCAAUUUUCUCUCCCCAUCUGCAGACUCUGGCAACCAGUGAUCUACAUUCUGCCCCUAUCAUUUUGCUGUCACCAGAAUAUCAAAUAAAUGAAAUAAUCCAGUAUUUAGUUUUGAGAGUUGGCUACUUUCAUAAGCCAAAUGCAUUUGAAAUUCAGUGAUUUCAGGACCAUCUACAUUCCAGCCCAUCUGUGUCAGGUUUCGGCUCUCCUUCUCUGACCUCUCCAUCACCAGUAAUAACUCAGUCUCCAUGAAGUGUUAGAUGGCACUGCUGGAUCAUUUGUAUUACAGGUAGUCUUGGGUGACCACACAGGUGGCCAGAGCAUGGUCAGCAAGCAGUGAGUUAAUUUUUAAGGCACUUUAAUAAGUUGGAUAUUAGCAAUGACUUAAGAAUUCAAACAACAUAGACAAGGGGAAAAUGGGAGUUCAUAACCCACUUGAAUCAAAUGUAUGAAAUAUGAUAUGUCAAGAGCUAUGUAAUGUUUUGAACAACUAAUAAAAAAGAAAGAAUUCAAACAACAGACAGGGUAGUCAAACAACAGACAGGGUAGCUACUGGUGGUGGUAAGUUUUUGCCCUUUUAUUUCCCCACAGUCCUCUUCUUCUGUUUUGUGUGCAUGUCCCUAUUUAACUGUGAGGAAAACACGUGUCACUCUGGUAGAAACUAGUAAUUCUAGAGUCACCAGAAAGACUGUAAUUCGAAUUUUCAAAUUCUAUGCUUCACCAAGACCUUUAUUCCCUCCCCCCAUUUCAUACUCGUGGAAAUUAUGAAGGGGAACUGCUUUCAACUCAUUCAUCAUCUGUUGCUAUGAGGUCAGGAGAAGUCUGGUUUUAAAGAUUAUAGAAUUUCAGUUGGAAGAAAUUCAAUUAAAAAUCAUGCUCUAUCUGCAACGGAUUUGCCAGGAGAAGAGUGCUCACCUCUUUCCUGUGAAAAGGUCUUGCUCUUGCCCUAUUUGACAAAACUAAAUUUUACUCUGAUGUCAGUUUUUAGAUGUAUAAAUAAGAUAUAAUGAAAUCCAUCCUUUAUUUUGGAUGCACAUUUCUGUGAGUUUUGACAAAUACAUACAGUCAGGCCCCCACCCCUCUUAUUUUGAAAAUAAGAUCAGGUCAUUUCCACCCUACCAAAAAGUCCCCUUGCAGACAUUUGUGAUCAAUUUUCUCUCCCCAUCUGCAGACUCUGGCAACCAGUGAUCUACAUUCUGCCCCUAUCAUUUUGCUGUCACCAGAAUAUCAAAUAAAUGAAAUAAUCCAGUAUUUAGUUUUGAGAGUUGGCUACUUUCAUAAGCCAAAUGCAUUUGAAAUUCAGUCAUCUUUAACCUGGCCUGUGACACCUGUUUCAACAAGAGAGUGAGAUCCUCGUUGAAGUGACCAGCUCCUGGAGUCCUACUGCCUAGGGGUGGACGGCCGGGUGAGCCAGUCCAUAUGGGAUUCAGGGAGAGGUUAACAAGGAAGAGUGAGAGGACAGGUGGACACGAUGGAGUGAGUGUGCCAGGAAGUAUCCUUACUCAGACACCCUGUGCCCUGGUGUCAAGGUUGAGCAGCUACCAUGCUCAACCACAGCAGGUGCCCAUUUCGGCCAGAGGAUCAGGACACAGGUUCCUAACUCUCAUUUCUGCAGAAAUGACUCCACUAGGAUUAAACCUGUGACAUACUCGGAUUAUAAGAUCACUGUUUCUCACAGUGUGAUUUCAGGACCAUCUACACCCCAGGCCACCGGGAGGUCAUGUAAUAUGCAGGUUCUGGACCCCCUUUGGGCGUGCUGAACCAGAAUGAAUGGGAAGAGAGCAAGUAAGUGUGUGGACUUGUGAUGAGCUUUCCAGGAGAGAGUUACAACACUCCAUGUUUUAGGUAUGACAGAUAUUGAUCUCCAAAGGACUUGGGUGGAGGGGAUAGAGGAAGAAAGGCAGCUGUGAGUUUGUAUCUAGCUCCUGCCUCUGAAGCUGAAGCUCAUGUCAUUGUGGAGGUAAAUUAAAUUAGCAGUGUCUCUGCAAAGGCAGAGAAUGGGAAGGGAGAACUCGUAUUGUGAACUAAUAUGUUAAUUGGUAAUAUAUUAUAAAGUUUAUACUAGAGAGAUAGAUGUAGAUAUAGAUAGAAAAAUAGUUGGCUAUAGGCAGAUGAUCAAACCCAGUGCCUCACACAUACUGUAGGCAGAGUAAUUUGUAUCAAUAUUAGAUUUAGUAAUUGUGGAAAUGAUAUAAUCAUCAGAACAAGAUUUUAAGUUUUCACUUAAAAUUUUGGAUUUUGUUUUGAAUAAAAUGCUUUAUUUCAUCAUUUGAUGUGGUAGCAGCAUCUUUAAAGAUAUGUAGUACAUUUACUAAGUUUUAUGUUAUAUGUAACAUUAAAAGCACUUGAGGAACUACAAUCUAAUAAUAAUAAUCUAGUACAUUAACUUUUUUUUUGGUACUGGAGAUUGAACCCAGGGACACUACCACGGAGCUACAUUCCCAGCCCAUUUUAUUUUUUAUACUGAGUCAGGGUCUCACUAAGUUGCUGAGGUUGGCCUUGAACUUGGGAUUCUGCUGUCUCAACCUAUGGGGUGUCUAGGAUCACAGGUGUGUGCCAACACUCCUGGCUCCUGAUCCAUUAAUUCUUUUUUUUUUAAAUUGUAAAUGGACAGAAUUACUUUAUGUAUGUAUAUAUUUUUAUGUGGUGCUGAGGAUCAAACCCAGUGCCUCACACAUGCUAGGCAAGUGCUCUGCCACUGAGCCACAACCGCAGCCCUGUGAUACAUCAAUUCUUAAUCAACACUCCUAAAGGUUAUUUCUUUGCAUUUCUCUCUUUGUCUGUUAAACAAUGCUUAUGUAUCAUAAAUUUGUUUCUGAUUUUUUAAUUCUACAUAUUUAAAGUGACUCUACAAUGACAGCUUAGUCUGUAAAUAUGAAUAAAAACGUGGGUAGAACUAGGCUGGGUGGAAUGAAAGAGCAAGCUAUUUUCAAUUUGAGUGCAAGGGCUAACUUGAAAAUACAAAUUGCAGGUCAUCAUUGUUGAAACAGCUAAAAGGAGCCGCAGACCAUUUUCUUUAGCCGCCAAAGCCAGAGCAAGUGGGAAGAAGACCUUUGCCCUCGGGACUGUUUUGUUUCUGUGUCCCACCCCAAACUCACCCCAAAUGAGAAACAGACCUCGGGGCUGUACCAGCAUUAUUUUAAGCCACGUGAAUGCACACAAGUGACUCAAGUGACUUUGGUUUGGUUUUGUUUUUGUGGCAGCGUAAAUUAACAAGGUGUCAAAUGAACAUCGUGGAGAAUCCACAGGCUCAGCUGGUCCUGGGGACGCCGCUGGCCUGCCUCCGAGGGCCAUCUGGUAAGAGCAUUUCCACGCUCCGCGGUCACCCGGCCUUGGUCUCCGGCGGCCCCCUACCCACUGGUCAUAUUGGCGACCUCUGCUUCCUCCCGAGUGUGGAGAAUCUGCCAUAAAGAAAGCGCGCGCUCAGCUGCAGAUUUUCUGGGCGCAGCGCUGCCCUGGUUUUGGAAGGCGCGCCUCUCCGUCUCCCCUGGGCAUGUGGAACAGCCGAAUGCAAGAGUGAAAACUGCCAAAAUGCUAAUCACGAUGAGAGAAAAAAAUAAAUAACACCAUCCAGAUGGGACAAAGUGGGCAUAUUUCAAGUAUCCUGGGGAACUGUGCAGUAUAUCAUUCGUGAUGCGUGGCACACCGCGCCACGGCCCUUCACAAACACACACUGCCCGGGCGUAUGCCUGCGGGGACAGGCGGAGCCGGCCGUAAAUCUGAGGGGGCCCUUCGCCCAGCUUUGCGCUCAGGCUGCGGCUGAUUCAGCGGGAUCCGGGCUGCAGUCUGCUCCCUUGGCUGCCCAUCAACUCUGCGGCUCACCCCACGGGGCAGAAUCCCAGCGGGCGAAUUCACCCCAGUGAAACUCAGAUGCUUUUCACAGCAAGGAAACUGCUGCUUUGAACGGGCCUCUGCUGCGCUGGGGAGCCACGUGCCAGGUGGCAAGGUUCCCCCAGGCCCCAGAAGGUGUCCUGGGGCUGCAGGGGCUGAGCAGGUUUGGGGUUUCCACACUCAGUUCUUACCCUCCGUCCAUCUCUGCUGAUUCGGGAGAGCGCCUGGGAUCCACUUUGCAACAAUAAAUUCAGGGGAUCUGAACAGUGGCACCAAGACACACGCUCCGGGAAACACUGAAAUCCACGAAUUACUAGGGAACUGUUUCCGUGAGUGUGGAAGAUAUUCCUCUGCAA